rnacentral:rRNA from 1 species
CCUACGGGAGGCAGCAGUGAGGAAUAUUGGUCAAUGGACGAGAGUCUGAACCAGCCAAGUAGCGUGAAGGAUGACUGCCCUAUGGGUUGUAAACUUCUUUUAUAAAGGAAUAAAACGAGGCACGUGUGCCUUUUUGCAUGUACUUUAUGAAUAAGGAUCGGCUAACUCCGUGCCAGCAGCCGCGGUAAUACGGAGGAUCCGAGCGUUAUCCGGAUUUAUUGGGUUUAAAGGGAGCGUAGAUGGGUUGUUAAGUCAGUUGUGAAAGUUUGCGGCUCAACCGUAAAAUUGCAAUUGAUACUGGCAGUCGUGAGUACAGUUGAGGUAGGCGGAAUUCGUGGUGUAGCGGUGAAAUGCUUAGAUAUCACGAAGAACCCCGAUUGCGAAGGCAGCUUACUAAACUGUGACUGACAUUGAUGCUCGAAAGUGUGGGUAUCAAACAGGAAUAGAUACCCCUAUAGUC